UCCGUGGUUUCAGUGACGCCUGAGAUUCAAUCUCUUAGUCAUCGAGGACGGGGUGAAUGUUGCCAGUCAUUACCUACCUGCGAGAACAUUCAGCAGCCAAGAGAGAUGGUGGUGAGCUACUGUGCCCAGAGCAGUUUCUGGAGGGGAAAGUGGUAUUUCUGAUAGGAUUUCUGUCCUGGAGGAACAGAUGCAUGCAGCAGACCUUCUACAACCUUCCAGAGUCAGGGAACUCAGAUUCCACAGGCACAGAGGGUGUGUGUGUUGGGCUGUGAGCUGGAAGCUGGAGCCUCACCUCUUCCUGCCCGACAUCACAUGAACUGUCCCUUCUUGCAGUGAAAAGGAAUAAACCCGAUCUGAAUUCAAAUUCAAGACCUUGGCACAUUCUGCCACGAGCAGCCUGUUUCAACUUCCUCAUGUCUAAACAUGAAAAUGAAGACAUAAUUUCUACAUCCAGAGCCACUAAGAAAAAUUUAGAAGGAAUGCUAGGGACCUGCCUAGGACAAUCUAUAGCAAAUGAUGGGCACAUAGCAAUUGCUUGCUAUUAAUAGAAACUUCAAUUUAUUUAAACUUCUAAAGCUCAUUGAAUUGCUGGCAAUAGUUCUUCCUCUCAAUAUACUUUUCCCAGAUUCA